rnacentral:tRNA from 2 species
GGAGGGGUACCAAAGUGGUCAACUGGGGCGGACUGUAAAUCCGUUGGCGUAGCCUUCGUAGGUUCGAAUCCUACCCCCUCCACCA